CUGGAGACAAAGGAGCUACAGAUCUGAACAUCCAGUGAGCUUGGAGCCGUGAAGUUGUCAUGCACUGAACUAUAUAUGGAAUUGGCCAGGUGAUCCCUUGGUAGGGUCAAAGGAUGGCGAGCUUCUGACAACUGGCUGGAGCCAGGAGAACCUUAAAACUCACU